rfam:Streptomyces atratus strain OK807 genome assembly, contig: Ga0007934_1023
ACGCGUAAAGCGCCGUAGGCAGGAGCGGGGGACCCAGGUAAGCGCCGGGCCCGAUCGUCGAAAGACGCAUCAGGACCGGCUUGGGGUGAAGUCGCGUGCUAGGACGUGCGACCGGGCAACUCACUUGGCCCGAACCCGACAGCUCACCUCGUAGGCGUCGGUGAGGAGAAGU